UACAGAGGGUGCGAGCGUUAAUCGGAAUUACUGGGCGUAAAGCGUGCGUAGACGGUUAUUUAAGUCGGAUGUGAAAGCCCCGGGCUCAACCUGGGAAUUGCAUUCGAGACUGAAUAGCUAGGGUGCGGUAGAGGGAAGCGGAAUUGCCGGUGUAGUGGUGAAAUGCGUAGAGAUCGGCAGGAACACCAGUGGCGAAGGCGGCCACCUAGCCCGCACCUGACGCUGAGGCGCGACAGCGUGGGGGAGCGAACUGG
rnacentral:rRNA from 1 species